UACGUAGGGUGCAAGCGUUAAUCGGAAUUACUGGGCGUAAAGCGUGCGCAGGCGGUUGUGCAAGACAGAUGUGAAAUCCCCGGGCUCAACCUGGGAACUGCAUUUGUGACUGCACGGCUAGAGUGUGUCAGAGGGGGGUAGAAUUCCACGUGUAGCAGUGAAAUGCGUAGAUAUGUGGAGGAAUACCGAUGGCGAAGGCAGCCCCCCUGGGAUAACACUGACGCUCAUGGCACGAAAAGCCGUGGGGGAGCAA
rnacentral:rRNA from 1 species